UACAGAGGCCCCGAGCGUUAAUCGGAAUCACUGGGCUUAAAGGGUGCGUAGGCGGGUCAGUAAGCGCUUUGUGAAAUCCCACGGCUCAACCGUGGAACCGCAGGGCGAACUGCUGAUCUUGAGGAAGCUAGAGGCUGGUAGAACGAUAGGUGGAGCGGUGGAAUGCGUAGAGAUCUAUCGGAAUGCCGAAAGUGAAGACAGCCAGCUGGGGCUUUCCUGACGCUAAAGCACGAAAGCGUGGGGAGCAAACCGG
rnacentral:rRNA from 1 species